rnacentral:rRNA from 1 species
GCAAUGCCCGCAUGGGUGACCCAGCAACGCCGCGUGGAGGAUGAAUGUCGUAAGAUUGUAAACUCCUGUUAGAGGGGAAGAAUAGUACCGGUUGGACCGGUACAUGACUGUACCCUCAGAGAAAGCCCCGGCUAACUACGUGCCAGCAGCCGCGGUAAUACGUAGGGGGCACGCGUUGUCCGGAUUUACUGGGUGUAAAGGGAGCGCAGGCGGGAUAAAAAGUCAGUGGUGAAAUCCUACAGCUUAACUGUAGAACUGCCUUUGNUACUUUUAUGCUCGAGUGCGGGAGAGAGAGACGGAAUACCAGGUGUAGUGGUAAAAUACGUAGAUAUCUGGAAGAACACCUGUUGCGACGGCGGUCUCUUGGUCCGACACUGACGCUGAGGCGCGAAAGCGUGGG